rnacentral:rRNA from 1 species
GAUACUUACCCCACCGAAGUAUCCGCCUGAGAACUACGAGCACAAACGCUUAAAACUCUAAGGACUUGGCGGUGCCCCAAACCCACCUAGAGGAGCCUGUUCUAUAAUCGAUAACCCACGAUACACCCAACCACUCUUUGCCAAAGCAGCCUACAUACCGCCGUCGCCAGCUCACCUCCUCUGAGAGUACAACAGUGAGCAUAAUAGCCCCGACAUCGCUAGUAAGACAGGUCAAGGUAUAGCCUAUAGAGUGGAAGAAAUGGGCUACAUUUUCUAAGGUAGAAACUACGGAAGGGGGCAUGAAACUUCCCCCGGAAGGUGGAUUUAGCAGUAAAGCGGGAUUAUAAGUGCCCUCUUUAAGUUGGCCCUGNGG